rnacentral:rRNA from 1 species
UCGAACGAUGAAGCCCUUCGGGGUGGAUUAGUGGCGAACGGGUGAGUAACACGUGGGCAAUCUGCCCUUCACUCUGGGACAAGCCCUGGAAACGGGGUCUAAUACCGGAUACGACGCGCUCGGGCAUCCGAUGUGCGUGGAAAGCUCCGGCGGUGAAGGAUGAGCCCGCGGCCUAUCAGCUUGUUGGUGAGGUAACGGCUCACCAAGGCGACGACGGGUAGCCGGCCUGAGAGGGCGACCGGCCACACUGGGACUGAGACACGGCCCAGACUCCUACGGGAGGCAGCAGUGGGGAAUAUUGCACAAUGGGCGAAAGCCUGAUGCAGCGACGCCGCGUGAGGGAUGACGGCCUUCGGGUUGUAAACCUCUUUCAGCAGGGAAGAAGCGAAAGUGACGGUACCUGCAGAAGAAGCGCCGGCUAACUACGUGCCAGCAGCCGCGGUAAUACGUAGGGCGCGAGCGUUGUCCGGAAUUAUUGGGCGUAAAGAGCUCGUAGGCGGUCUGUCGCGUCGGAUGUGAAAGCCCGGGGCUUAACCCCGGGUCUGCAUUCGAUACGGGCAGACUAGAGUGUGGUAGGGGAGAUCGGAAUUCCUGGUGUAGCGGUGAAAUGCGCAGAUAUCAGGAGGAACACCGGUGGCGAAGGCGGAUCUCUGGGCCAUUACUGACGCUGAGGAGCGAAAGCGUGGGGAGCGAACAGGAUUAGAUACCCUGGUAGUCCACGCCGUAAACGGUGGGAACUAGGUGUUGGCGACAUUCCACGUCGUCGGUGCCGCAGCUAACGCAUUAAGUUCCCCGCCUGGGGAGUACGGCCGCAAGGC